UGAGGGUGAGCUCUUUAUUAUUGUAAUUUUUUGGAACAUGUACUAAUGACUUGUUUUCCUUCCUUGUCUGUUUUUCGGACGAAUUUACUGCAAUCCCGUCUAAUUGAAUAGCAAAGAUAAUGGCGGCGUAGCAUUCGUACGUGUACACUGCGUCGUUAAACUUGACAUUGUCGGUCGGAAAGCCGAACUUGACGAUGGCCGUCCCAUAAGCCUACGACAAGUGCCUUAUUGCCACAGGUGGUAAACAAAAAUCUUUUCCAAUCCCUGAGCGCUGCCCUCAAAGAUGUCCACGAGCACGUAAUGCUGUUCCGCAAAAUCGAUGGCGGUAACAUAGGCCGAGUCCUCCCUAAAUAUUUGAGCCAAUGGACUUCCGAGAAGGUGAAAGCGCAAGGUGUCUAAUGUGUUGCCCAAAGCUAAUGUUUAGGGUGCAAUUUUGGAAGACUACAAGGUCGCAUUGAUCUUAAACGAUGGUCAAAAGAUUUAAACUGACCAUGUCGUCGCUGUUGUCGGUUGGGACGCAAACUUACGGAUUUGGCUGUCGUUUCUGGUUUGGAAAUAGAUUCCAAUUUUGGUGGUUAUCGAGUCAAUACCGAGGUUGAAGCACGAUCGAACGUCUGGUUGGCUGGAGAUGUUGCGUUCGUUUGUGAUAUCAAAUUGGGUCGUUAUCGUACGGAACAUCAUCACUUUGCUGUCGUAUCAGGGCGAUUGGCUGGAGAGAACAAUACUGGCAACGAAACAUGGAUGAACAACUGCAGUGCACUGUCACCAAGUUCAUUCUUCGUCGUAUUAUCAGUACGCAAUCGGUGUCGUGCUGUUUCCGUUUGUCGUAUCGUUGAAGGUUGGGUCGAUCACUGGUGUACUCAUGGCUCCUGGGUAUGGCGGAUACCAAAGCACCACGCCGCCGCCUUGCUACACAACGAAAACAUUCGCACCAACCGGUUACUACACUGAGGGCCACAAUUACUACACCAUCAAGGCUCCAGA